GUCCGUCCCUGGUGCCUGGAGACAUCAGGAUACCUUGGGACCCAAACCGGAGAUGUCUUCGUUCCUUAAACCAAAAGCGACUGCACGUCAGUAACAUGUCAGACCCUGUGUUUAGCACAGGGGAUGCAAAGUUAAGUCAAACAGGGUCCCUGCCUCCAAAAACCUUACAGCUUAUCAUCAGGGACACAGACAUAAAUAAUAAGAUGUAUCGAAUGCAGUGUGGUAAGUGCACGCCGGAGCUGAGUGCAGGGAUGGGGGUUGGGUGAAGGACAAGGACAAGGAUGCAUUCCCAGAAGUGAUAGUGAGCUGAGUCUUGAGAGAGAGAGAGCUGGCUUAAGCAACCACAGGCAUUCCAGGCCGAGGGAACAUGAAGCGAGGGAGAGCUUUGAGCCUCUGAAGUGCUGCAAGCAGCUCAUUGUAGCUGGAAUGGAGAGGAGGAGGACUUGAGGUGAGCGAACAGCCUGGGAAAGUAGGUUGAGGCAGAGUCUAAGAGGCUUGGUGGGCUGGGCUAAGAGGUUGGCAUCAAUCCAGAAGGCAAAAGGGAACCACCCUGCAAACAGGGAAGUAGCGUGAUUGUAUUUACAGUUUAGAAGGAUAACUCAGGAGGCAUUUGGGAGGAUUUAUUGAUAGGAGGGGGGAAAAGAGUGAAGCAGAAGAGACUGAUGUAGGGCAGAUUCAAACGGUACAGCAUGGAGCCUGCUUGGGAUUCUCUCUCUCUCUCUCUCUCUCUCUCUCUUUGUCUCUCUCUCUCUCUGAAAAUAAAUAAAUAAACUUAAAGAGAGAGAGAGAGAGAAGCCUCCACAGGUCUUGGAAACCAAUUGGAUUUUGUGCAUGACCGAGAAGGGACGCUCAAGGGUGACAGGUUCACAGAACAAUUGCUUUGGGUGUGAUGUCCCGAGCAAGAAAUAACCCGCAUCAGGGAUUGAACGAGGGCGGCAGGUCCCAAUGCACUGGAGUGAAUGACAGACCUCCAUCAACCUCAGUAGGGCUUAUUGUCAGCUGGAAUUUUGGCCUUAAAGGGGCAGUGUGCAUAUCAGAAUGGCUGGGAGUCAUGAAUAUUAGAUGGGCCCCAGGGGGGUCUAAUAGGGCUCUCUCCACAACCCCCUCCCCCUGCCUUCCAGGUGACAUUGACUCCUCCCCAAACCUAGCUAAACUGAGAAUUCUUGCUUAGUAAUAUUCAUCCAUCUAGGAUAUUUUAG
rnacentral:lncRNA from 1 species